ensembl:misc_RNA Metazoa_SRP Metazoan signal recognition particle RNA
GCCGGGCGCGGUGGCUCGCGCCUGUAAUCCAAACACUUUGGAGGCCAAGGUAGGUGGAUCACCUGAGGUUGGGAGUUCAAGACCAGCCUGACUAACAUGGUGAAACCCCGUCUUUU